rnacentral:rRNA from 1 species
CCUACGGGCGGCAGCAGUGGGGAAUAUUGCACAAUGGGGGAAACCCUGAUGCAGCAACGCCGCGUGAAGGAAGACGGUUUUCGGAUUGUAAACUUCUGUUCUUAGUGAAGAAUAAUGACGGUAGCUAAGGAGCAAGCCACGGCUAACUACGUGCCAGCAGCCGCGGUAAUACGUAGGUGGCAAGCGUUGUCCGGAAUUACUGGGUGUAAAGGGAGCGCAGGCGGGAAGCCAAGUCAGCUGUGAAAACUACGGGCUUAACUUGUAGACUGCAGUUGAAACUGGUUUUCUUGAGUGAAGUAGAGGGUGGCGGAAUUCCGGGGGUAGCGGGGAAAUGCGUAGAUAUUCGGAGGAACACCGGUGGCGAAGGCGGCCAACUGGGCUUUAACUGACGCUGAGGCUCGAAAGUGUGGGGAGCGAACAGGAUUAGAUACCCGUGUAGUC